rnacentral:rRNA from 1 species
AUUGAACGCUGGCGGCAGGCCUAACACAUGCAAGUCGAACGGUAACAGGAAGAAGCUUGCUUCUUUGCUGACGAGUGGCGGACGGGUGAGUAAUGUCUGGGAAACUGCCUGAUGGAGGGGGAUAACUACUGGAAACGGUAGCUAAUACCGCAUAACGUCGCAAGACCAAAGAGGGGGACCUUCGGGCCUCUUGCCAUCGGAUGUGCCCAGAUGGGAUUGGCUAGUAGGUGGGGUAACGGCUCACCUAGGCGACGAUCCCUAGCUGGUCUGAGAGGAUGACCAGCCACACUGGAACUGAGACACGGUCCAGACUCCUACGGGAGGCAGCAGUGGGGAAUAUUGCACAAAGGGCGCAAGCCUGAUGCAGCCAUGCCGCGUGUAUGAAGAAGGCCUUCGGGUUGUAAAGUACUUUCAGCGGGGAGGAAGGGAGUAAAGUUAAUACCUUUGCUCAUUGACGUUACCCGCAGAAGAAGCACCGGCUAACUCCGUG